ACAAAGAAAUUGAUGCUCUUGUUUAUCCUCAAGGAAGACGGCCAAAGAAGGUGAUGGAUCCACAACACUUUCAAUGAGUGGAAGAUGAUUUGGUUAAAUGGGAUUGUUCUUGUUUGGAAAAAGGAGAGAAAUAGAGAGCUAUUGAUGGCAGUAAGAGUUGGUGACUAAAAUGGCAAGGUUCGUGCUUGGAGGGUGGUUGAAAAAUUGUCUCAACAAAAUCCCUUGUGAUUUGAAGGAGCUAAUGCACAGAUUCUUCUGCAACAUUUUUGUAGUAUGUUUUAACUGGCAGUACUCAGUUCUAGCCAUCACGGGGGUUGAACAUCUAAAAUGUUGGCUCAACUGAGGGAAGAGUUGGUGUCCAUCAUUUGGAUUUGGAUGAUUCUCAGCAAGAGAAAAACUUCACCUUCAAAUGUAUAGAAUUCUUGCUGCGAUUGAAGCAACGAUGGGUUGAGCUGAAAAUGGACCGA